rnacentral:rRNA from 1 species
UGAGUACGCGUACUCAGUUGUAGGUACCCUAAGAAUAAGGAUCGGCUAACUCCGUGCCAGCAGCCGCGGUAAUACGGAGGAUCCGAGCGUUAUCCGGAUUUAUUGGGUUUAAAGGGUGCGUAGGCGGGUUGAUAAGUCAGUGGUGAAAGGUUUGCGCUCAACGUAGACAUUGCCAUUGAAACUGUCAGUCUUGAGUACAAAUGAGGUAGGCGGAAUGUGUUGUGUAGCGGUGAAAUGCAUAGAUAUGACACAGAACACCAAUUGCGAAGGCAGCUUACUGGGAUGUAACUGACGCUGAGGCACGAAAGCGUGGGGAUCAAACAGGAUUAGAUACCCUGGUAGUCCACGCAGUAAACGAUGAUUACUAGCUGUUAGCGAUAGAAUGUUAGUGGCUAAGCGAAAGCGAUAAGUAAUCCACCUGGGGAGUACGACCGCAAGGUUGAAAC